GACUCCAAGCCAGGGUUUCUGUCUUGCGGAUUGGUUCUUUCUGCUCCAUCUCAGUGCCGUUCUCACCCAAAUGCCGGUGAGCAAGGAGUAGCCAGCCCGAUCUGGGAGCCACACCUGGCUGGAGUC
rnacentral:pre_miRNA from 1 species